rnacentral:rRNA from 1 species
UUCUGUAAGCCUGUGAAGGUGAGUUGAGAAGCUUGCUGGAGGUAUCAGAAGUGCGAAUGCUGACAUGAGUAACGACAAUGGGUGUGAAAAACACCCACGCCGAAAGACCAAGGGUUCCUGCGCAACGUUAAUCGACGCAGGGUUAGUCGGUUCCUAAGGCGAGGCUGAAAAGCGUAGUCGAUGGGAAACAGGUUAAUAUUCCUGUACUUCUGGUUACUGCGAUGGAGGGACGGAGAAGGCUAGGCCAGCUUGGCGUUGGUUGUCCAAGUUUAAGGUGGUAGGCUGAAAUCUUAGGUAAAUCCGGGGUUUCAAGGCCGAGAGCUGAUGACGAGUCGUCUUUUAGAUGGCGAAGUGGUUGAUGCCAUGCUUCCAAGAAAAGCUUCUAAGCUUCAGGUAACCAGGAACCGUACCCCAAACCGACACAGGUGGUCGGGUAGAGAAUACCAAGGCGCUUGAGAGAACUCGGGUGAAGGAACUAGGCAAAAUGGCACCGUAACUUCGGGAGAAGGUGCGCCGGCUAGGGUGAAGGAUUUACUCCGUAAGCUCUGGCUGGUCGAAGAUACCAGGCCGCUGCGACUGUUUAUUAAAAACACAGCACUCUGCAAACACGAAAGUGGACGUAUAGGGUGUGACGCCUGCCCGGUGCCGGAAGGUUAAUUGAUGGGGUUAGCGCAAGCGAAGCUCUUGAUCGAAGCCCCGGUAAACGGCGGCCGUAACUAUAACGGUCCUAAGGUAGCGAAAUUCCUUGUCGGGUAAGUUCCGACCUGCACGAAUGGCGUAACGAUGGCGGCGCUGUCUCCACCCGAGACUCAGUGAAAUUGAAAUCGCUGUGAAGAUGCAGUGUAUCCGCGGCUAGACGGAAAGACCCCGUGAACCUUUACUGUAGCUUUGCACUGGACUUUGAGCCUGCUUGUGUAGGAUAGGUGGGAGGCUUUGAAGCGUGGACGCCAGUUCGCGUGGAGCCAUCCUUGAAAUACCACCCUGGCAUGCUUGAGGUUCUAACUCUGGUCCGUGAUCCGGAUCGAGGACAGUGUAUGGUGGGCAGUUUGACUGGGGCGGUCUCCUCCUAAAGAGUAACGGAGGAGUACGAAGGUGCGCUCAGACCGGUCGGAAAUCGGUCGCAGAGUAUAAAGGCAAAAGCGCGCUUGACUGCGAGACAGACACGUCGAGCAGGUACGAAAGUAGGUCUUAGUGAUCCGGUGGUUCUGUAUGGAAGGGCCAUCGCUCAACGGAUAAAAGGUACUCCGGGGAUAACAGGCUGAUACCGCCCAAGAGUUCAUAUCGACGGCGGUGUUUGGCACCUCGAUGUCGGCUCAUCACAUCCUGGGGCUGAAGCCGGUCCCAAGGGUAUGGCUGUUCGCCAUUUAAAGUGGUACGCGAGCUGGGUUUAGAACGUCGUGAGACAGUUCGGUCCCUAUCUGCCGUGGACGUUUGAGAUUUGAGAGGGGCUGCUCCUAGUACGAGAGGACCGGAGUGGACGAACCUCUGGUGUUCCGGUUGUCACGCCAGUGGCAUUGCCGGGUAGCUAUGUUCGGAAAAGAUAACCGCUGAAAGCAUCUAAGCGGGAAACUUGCCUCAAGAUGAGAUCUCACUGGGAACUUGAUUCCCCUGAAGGGCCGUCGAAGACUACGACGUUGAUAGGCUGGGUGUGUAAGCGUUGUGAGGCGUUGAGCUAACCAGUACUAAUUGCCCGUGAGGCUUGACCA